AGCGAACGCUGGCGGCAGGCUUAACACAUGCAAGUCGAGCGGGCAUAGCAAUAUGUCAGCGGCAGACGGGUGAGUAACGCGUGGGAACGUACCUUUUGGUUCGGAACAACUGAGGGAAACUUCAGCUAAUACCGGAUAAGCCCUUACGGGGAAAGAUUUAUCGCCGAAAGAUCGGCCCGCGUCUGAUUAGCUAGUUGGUGAGGUAAUGGCUCACCAAGGCGACGAUCAGUAGCUGGUCUGAGAGGAUGAUCAGCCACAUUGGGACUGAGACACGGCCCAAACUCCUACGGGAGGCAGCAGUGGGGAAUAUUGGACAAUGGGCGCAAGCCUGACCCAGCCAUGCCGCGUGAGUGAUGAAGGCCCUAGGGUUGUAAAGCUCUUUUGUGCGGGAAGAUAAUGACGGUACCGCAAGAAUAAGCCCCGGCUAACUUCGUG
rnacentral:rRNA from 1 species